rnacentral:misc_RNA from 1 species
UCAAUAUAUGCAAAGUUAACAAGAUAGGAUCCGCCACGAGUUCGGGUGGACUUGGGCUAUGCACACUUGGUGAAAUUUUAAGACUUCCUUGAAGAAGUCGUCAAGAGGGAACCGCAGCCCGGCUUUUAGUUGCUUUUCAUAUACUAUAAUCAUAUCGUUCUCUUCGAAGAAGUGAUCGGCUCGGAAAUCGCCGUGACACCGGAUGAGUUCGAAUGAAUCAGGAUGAAUGUUGUAUUCUUGGCUGAACGAUUGUAGGUCGGUUUCUUGAAGAAUUGAUGGCAGCUCGUUCAUGGGAAGAUUUUCCCUCCCUGAAGAAAGUACAUGCCUUGAUGGUGCUGCUU